rnacentral:tRNA from 1 species
GCGGUCGUGGCGAAGGGGUUAACGCACUGGUCUGUGGCUCCAGCAUUCGUGGGUUCAAGUCCAUCGAUCGCC